rnacentral:rRNA from 1 species
GCGGGAAUCCCCGGCAACGGGGGGAACCGGCGUAAGGGGCAGUAAGGCGUGGGUACCCACCCCCGGGUCCGGGAUAGCCCGCCGAGAGGCGGGGUAAUACCGGAUGACCUCGGGAGAGCAAAGCUCCGGCGCCCGGGGCGGGGCCCACGUGAUAUUAGCUAGUUGGCGGGGUGACGGCCCACCAAGGCGGAGAUGUCUAGCGGGUGUGAGAGCACGACCCGCGCCACUCGCACUGAGACACUGGCGAGACACCUACGGGUGGCUGCAGUCGAGGAUCUUCGGCAAUGGGGGCAACCCCGACCGAGCGAUGCCGCGUGGGCGACGAAGGCCUUCGGGUUGUAAAGCCCUGUCGAGGGGGAGAAAGGGGAAACCCGGAUCCAUCCCUGGAGGAAGCUCGGGCUAAGUUCGUGCCAGCAGCCGCGGUAAGACGAACCGAGCGAACGUUGUUCGGAAUCACUGGGCUUAAAGGGCGCGUAGGCGGGCUGCCGCGUCCGGGGUGAAAUCCUCCGGCUCAACCGGAGAACGGCCCCGGGUACGGGCGGCCUCGANGGGGGU